GACGGGGGGGGCAAGCGUUGUUCGGAAUUACUGGGCGUAAAGGGCUCGUAGGCGGCCAACUAAGUCAGACGUGAAAUCCCUCGGCUUAACCGGGGAACUGCGUCUGAUACUGGUAUGGCUCGAGUCCGGUAGGGGACCACGGAAUUCCUGGUGUAGCGGUGAAAUGCGCAGAUAUCAGGAGGAACACCGGUGGCGAAGGCGGUGGUCUGGGCCGGCACUGACGCUGAGGAGCGAAAGCGUGGGGAGCGAACAGG
rnacentral:rRNA from 1 species